GACGAACGCUGGCGGCACGCCUAACACAUGCAAGUCGAACGGAGAUAAAUAGGUUUACUUGUUUAUCUUAGUGGCGGACGGGUGAGUAACACGUGAGCAACCUGCCUCUGAGAGAGGGAUAGCUUCUGGAAACGGAUGGUAAUACCUCAUGACAUAGUUUUAUCGCAUGAUAAGGCUAUCAAAGAUUUAUCACUCAGAGAUGGGCUCGCGUCUGAUUAGCUAGUUGGUGAGGUAACGGCUCACCAAGGCGACGAUCAGUAGCCGGACUGAGAGGUUGAACGGCCACAUUGGGACUGAGACACGGCCCAGGACUCCUACGGGUGGCAG
rnacentral:rRNA from 1 species